ACCCCUGACUGGGUCACCCGGGUGACGGUGUCUGAUGUAAGACCCGAAACACCCUAUGACCCCGGGUACAUCACUGAAGAUGUGUCCAGGUUGCACCACAAGGUGUAUUCUAUAACUUGAGUUAUAUUAUGUGACCUUCUG